rnacentral:lncRNA from 1 species
CUUUGUUUCUCCUUCUGAGAGAUGUCUGCUGUGACUGGAAUGUGCUGUGGAAAAGUGAGAAACUGGAGGAGGAAGAAUUGUUACUGAUCUGGAGCAACAGGAAGAACAGAGUGCACCUAUAAAGCUUGGAACUGCUGUUCUGAAAAGUCACUAAAAUGUUUAAAUUUGUGGAGUGCAUCAGGGCCAGAAAACCACAAUCUUUAAGAAGCAAAGAACUUACACAUCAAAUAGCUUACAUUUUUCCUGCUGAAAACCACCUAUGUCUCUGACCAUCAUCCUCUGGUCUCAGUAGAAGAACAGCAGUAUAUUUAAYAGCUUUAUUAAUGCCAGAGUAGUCAUCAUCUAUUGCAAAAGUGGCUGUUAUGCUCAGAAUUUUAUACCAGAAUUCUAGCAGCGUUCUGAUCGUUCAGAACUCAGGAGCAACAUUCACUGAGGUACAACAUUAGUGAAAAAGAUUAUGUACUCUGAGUCCAAAACAAUAUCAGUGUAUUAAAAAAAGAGGAAGAAAUGAGAGACAGCGUCAACUGAACUGUGAGCUCACUGCGUUGCUGAACAGGUAAUUUACAUAGCUCCCAACAAA